rnacentral:rRNA from 1 species
UGCUUGGGAAUCUAGCUUAUGGAGGGGGAUAACUACGGGAAACUGUAGCUAAUACCGCGUAAUAUCGAAAGAUUAAAGUGUGGGACCUUCGGGCCACAUGCCAUAAGAUGAGCCCAAGUGGGAUUAGGUAGUUGGUGAGGUAAAGGCUCACCAAGCCGACGAUCUCUAGCUGGUCUGAGAGGAUGACCAGCCACACUGGGACUGAGACACGGCCCAG